rnacentral:rRNA from 1 species
ACAACCCAAGCCCAUUGUCCACCUCUCACGCCACACACAAACCUAACAAAAAUCCCCGCCGCCGCCACCACCACCACCAGGCACCACCACCGUACUCUUGGCCGAUAUUGUCACGCCGCUGCCCCUCCCACCCCGGGUGACGCCUCCCGAAGCUCCCAUCCAGCUGCGCUUCCCCAGCCUGAGGUGCCGCCCAGCUGUCCACUAACCUAGCGGCGGCCGUCGCCCACUGGUUCCCUGGCAUCGCCCCUAACCUGCCAGUUGAUUUGCUCGCGCCGUCGUGUCCUCCGACCGUGAUCUGCCUCGCGACGCCACCUCCCCAGACUACGACCUGCCUUGAGCCACCACCUCCCCAGACCACAACCUACCUCGCGCCGCGACGGCCUCUGGCCACAACCUGCCUCCCGCCCCCACGACCUCCGAGGGGCCGCCCCACAGGCUGCAGCUUAGGAGACUCUCCGCUGUCCCUCUUCCACCACCGGCAACGUCUUCCCCACCCUCUCUGUCCUACCCUGUUUCCAAAUUUGGUUUUUGCAGCAGGUCUGAUCCCUUGCCUGUGCUCUCCACUUGUCCUCACUCCUUGGGCCUUCCCUUUGCUUAUCACCAUACAUUUUAUACAGAGCGGUGUCAUGAUGCAUCUCCUCUGCCUAGAUGAUGGACAGAGGGCCUAAGCUCUAGGUGAGCUCCUCCACCAAGCAAGUGUUGUAUAUUGUACGAUAUUCUGAUUGUUAAUGUCUGCAAUCUAAUGCCUUGCUCUGCAUUUUAAUUUUUAAUCUCAACAUUUCCAAUUUUACCAGUUGGAGAUUAUUUGAAUGAUUCAGUUUUGGGGGAAGAAAGCGAGGUAUAGUCGAGAAUGUAUAGUCUGCAUUGUGUAUAACUGAAAUAUGUGUAGCUUCCUAAUAUGAAAACAUGCAUGUUUACAUAUUUGUCUUUCUUUUAGCAUUGCUGAAUGAAUGAAAACAUUCACAUGACCACACAUGGCCCAAAGUUAAAACUAGGAAUUGGGUUUUCAUUUCCCUUAGAUUUGUUAAUGUUCAUCCUGUUGUCGUUUCUUCUGAAGUUUAGAAAAUUCCUUCUACUAAAUAGUUAACUCAUUUUACUAUUGUCAGCAUAAUCCAUGGAUUUGCAUUGCAAGAGAUUACUAUUUUUUUUUUUUUUGUGAUUCCUAUGUAUUUCUGGGUGUGCAUCAUUCAGGGCCGUCGAAAAGGGGGGCCAAAGUGGGCGACCACCCAGGACCCCCAAUUCUAGGGGCCCCCAAAUGCUGUUAUGUAUCAGGAUGAAAAAGGCCCAGCUUACCUGGAUCAUCCCUGAUGUACGACAUCACCGAAGCGUAGCCCAACUUCCUGUAGUUCCUACUCUGCUCCUAUCAAUGCAUUUCUUUGAUUGUUUCGGAUAGAACUAUUUUCAGGAUAGUUGCUCAUAAAAUAUUUCAAAGAUAGUUGUCCAUCCAAGUUUCAAGGUUCAUCAUUCUUUUGUUCUCAUUUCUUGAUAAGCCUAGAAUUCAUGUACUCAUGCUUUUCAGUAGAACACGAUGUUAGUUUAUUGUUUUAGCAGUACCUUCAGUACUUUAAAUUUCAUAAUUUAUGUAUUUAUAAAUUGUACGAAAUAACAAAUAAUCAAGAUAUGGAAUUAAGUGAAAGUAUACUUUAGUUGUAUUAGCUAUAUUAUUGUAAUGUUAGAGCCUCAUUUUGCAUUUCGUCCCAGGGCCUUGGCAUCAUUACAAGGAAGACAAGCUUUUCGACUCCAUCUGUAUGUGCCAGGAAAGGUGAAUCUCAGAGAUUUGUCUUGUAGACUGGUGGCAUGAUGCUACAACCAGUGUUCAAGGGGACAUGGUAAAAAGUAGCAAAUUCACAAGUUGAUGGAAGAUGUUAUCGUGAUCGCUCUUGUUCAGAACAUGGUUGACACAUUUUGUCAUAUGGAAGUUGAUGUUUGCUUGGCUGCUUUGUACCUAGGAUAUUAGCAAGCAGAAGGGCAGAAACGUAUAUGGGUCAAAUGGCAGAAAGUAAUCCCACAAGAUGAUAUAUGAUGUUCUGCUGAUCACUUUUGUUCAUAACAUGGUUGACACAUUUUCGUCAUAUGGAAGUUGAUGUUGACUUGGUGAUCAAAGACUUGGCCCCUUCCAUACUACCCCCUCCCCCCUCCUAAAAUAAGUGUCUUUGGGACGGAGGUAGUAUUUUGUAGCAGUCAAGUGAAAGAACAAUUGGUUUCUUAGGAACUUGAUCAUCAUAUUUUGUAACAGGCCACAUCCUACAUGUCAAACUUGUGUAUUUCCUAAAUGGUUGUAGAUAACUUGAGUGAAGAAAAUUAAUGGAUCUUCUAUAUAUGUUGAAUGAAUGCAUUGGCCAAUGGUAUCUUGUGAUGAG